AAUUGAAAGCAAUAGCAGACACCAUAACCGGAAAUAGCCUACUCUACUGAUUAAUUUCGUUCGUUUUCGCUCAAUUCGACAAAUAGUAGAUUGCCAUUUGUACUUAAAAUUUAAUUUAAAGUACGAAACUAUUUUAAAUUUAUAUGAGAUAUUACUCAAACUUAAUCUUGUGACUUUAAAUACAUAGACAAAUCCCUUAAAUUUCAGGGUCAUGGCACUGACUAAGAAAAGUGCAAAGGAAUAUGAAAAUAUCUCCAUUGAUGAUUUGCUUGAGCAGCUCACUGAAGAGGAUAUAGAGAAACUAAACCAAGAGCUAUUCGAUCCGGACGAUUCAGAUAUUCCUGCAAGGGACAGAUGUGCUUAUAAAUUGGACAAAUCUCCAUCAGCUAAGUUUGAUAGAAAAAAGUUAUUAGAGCAUUUGGAAAAGACUGCUAAGGAGGAUAAAGAUUGGCCUGAAAAUAAGCCCUAUACAGGCGAAAAAAGAGGAAAAGUAUGGCAACCAAAGGAACAAGAAAUCAAGGAUUUAGAUGAGACUGAAAACGAUUUUAACGAUGAAAUGUGGGAAGCUGUUAAGGAUAAUGCAACUGAAGAGGAUUUAGUAGAAAUUGCUGCUUUACUCGGUAUACCGUCCCUGAUCAGUCAAACCCAGUAUCAUGCCGCAGUCGUCGGUGGUGACAAAUCUAAUAUCGACUCGACUGUGAAAGGAGGUGGAUUUCAUAGUGUGGCAAAACAUGAAAAUUUCAAGCUUUUCGAUGAAGAUCCUCAUAAUAAUACCAAUGUUGAAGAAGCUCUUGAAAAUAUAAAGGCUAACGAUCCAAAAACAACAACUAUUAACUUAAACAACAUUACUAAAAUAUCAGAAGAAAGAUUAAUUCUAUUCGCUGAAGCCUUGAAAACAAAUACGAAGUUGGAAAGAUUACAAAUGAGCAAUGUUAGAAUGACUGAUAAAGUUGGUGCUGUUCUGGCCGAAGCUCUGAAAGAAAAUAAUAAUUUAAUAGAAUUGAAUGUAGAAUCGAAUUUUCUAUCUGGAAAAUGUAUUCUUCAGCUGGUUAAAGCCAUUAACGAAAAUGGAACUCUAAAGGAAUUACGAGUUAUUAACCAGAGAGCGCAAGUUCUCGGAAAUCAGACGGAAAUGGCUAUUUCCAAAGAGAUUGAAAAGAAUAAAACCAUACUAGCCUUUAAUAUCGAGGUAGCGGCUACUGACGCAAGAAAUAGAAUUGCAAAUAGCCUUCAAAGAAACGUAGACGAAUCAAAGAGAGUCACUCGUAUAUCGAAAUAGGUAACAACUUUACGAAAAAGCUGAAGAAUGUAAUUGAAACUUUCUCACCCUAUUAUGCUUUAUAGAAAUUAUUUUCUAGUCCCAUUUAGUUAAUUCUUUUUUAUUUGUAAAUUUAGAUAUAUUACUAUUAUUAUUGAUAUUAAUGUUAUUAAUACUUCUCUAUUGAGCGUCUAAACUGCAAGUUUUUUAUCGCUUUUGCCUUCCCCUCUUAUUCCCAUUCCUUUACUAGCUGAGAUUGCAUUAUUAAGGAAACACAAUUAUCCCCCUCCCUUCCUAUUCAAUUUAACCAAUGAAUCAUAUUCAACAAAUGUGUGCUUGAUUUUAUCUCCUUAAAAGAAAGAAACAAAAAAAAAUACUCUAUUUAUAGAGAUAUUUUUGAAUAAUCCCUUGAGUUUAGUUAGUUCUGUAAACUUUUUUGAAUGUAGCUUAGCUAUAACAGAGAAAAAAAAGUAACUGCAGUUGAAAAGAAAAAACGUAUCUGAUAAUAAUAAUGAAAAAGAAAAUGAAAAAAAGAAUUGGUUCUUCUCCUUUUUUUUGAGCUUAUUUCAUAUCGUAUCGAAUUGUGUCACUUUUUGUAAAAUAUACUAUGCGGAGCUUUUACCUUUUGUUGAUCGCGUUUACCUUUGCUUAUUUUUUUUUUAUAUAAUAAAUCUCAUCACAAAUCUAUUAUGCAGUAUUCCAGAUAUUUUUCAAUUUUAAUAAAUAAACUCUUUAUCAUUCAACCCA
rnacentral:misc_RNA from 1 species